rnacentral:rRNA from 1 species
CCUACGGGAGGCUGCAGUGGGGAAUAUUGGGCAAUGGAGGCAACUCUGACCCAGCAACGCCGCGUGAAUGAUGAAGGUCUUCGGGUUGUAAACUGCUUUUAUCAGCGAGAAAUAUGAUGGUAACUUAUGACUAAUGAUCGGCUAACUACGUGCAAGCAGCCGCGGUCCUACGUAGGAUCCGAGCAUUAUCCGGAGUGACUGGGUGUAAAGAGUUGCGUAGGUGGCAUAAUAAGUAGCUAUUGAAAUCUGGUGGCUCAACCAUUCAGACUAUUAGCUAAACUGUUAAGCUCGAGACAGUUAGGGGUAACGGGAAUUUCUAGUGUAGGAGUGAAAUCCGUAGAUAUUAGAAGGAACACCAAUAGCGUAGGCAGGUUACUGGGACGGUUCUGACACUAAGGCACGAAAGCGUAGGGAGCAAACGGGAUUAGAUACCCCAGUAGUC